AGUGAACGCUGGCGGUAGGCCUAACACAUGCAAGUCGAACGGCAGCACAGUAAGAGCUUGCUCUUACGGGUGGCGAGUGGCGGACGGGUGAGGAAUACAUCGGAAUCUACUUUUUCGUGGGGGCUAACGUAGGGAAACUUACGCUAAUACCGCAUACGACCUACGGGUGAAAGCAGGGGAUCUUCGGACCUUGCGCGAUUGAAUGAGCCGAUGUCGGAUUAGCUAGUUGGCGGGGUAAAGGCCCACCAAGGCGACGAUCCGUAGCUGGUCUGAGAGGAUGAUCAGGCACACUGGAACUGAGACACGGUCCAGACUCCUACGGGAGGCAGCAGUGGGGAAUAUUGGACAAUGGGCGAAAGCCUGAUCCAGCCAUGCCGCGUGGGUGAAGAAGGUCUUCGGAUUGUAAAGCACUUUAAUUGGGGAAGAAAGGCAGUAAGUUAAUACCUUGCUGUUUUGACGUUACCAAAAGAAUAAGCACCGGCUAACUUCGUG
rnacentral:rRNA from 1 species